AGACGGGUAAAUUGCACUGAGUUCGUCUGUCUGUGCUUUCUGCACCCCGCGUGUAUUUUUCACGACUUUUGCGACAAAGCAAAUCCCAAUAUAUUAGCCGCUUUGAUUGAAUGGAUAUCUCCACCGGUUUUGGUUUCCCAAUGAAGUUGUCCAAUUCAUUUAUCCCACGGCUUAGAACGACCCAAUGGUACCUCGCUGAUUAUCCACUAGUCUUACCGCUAGGGGAAGGGUCAAGUCUAGCUACCAUACCACAGGACUUAUUCAGCGUUAAUUGAAAUAAAUCCAUUUAGCCCUAAGUUUUUGUCCGUCUUUGCAAAAUUUCAACUAUCUCAAUCUUCGAGCGAGCAGGAAGCUGAGACCUGGCUUAAGUCUCGUCGCCAUUUUGAAUCCCCCUGUUCUUCUUUGUAACGACUAGGACGAUUUCCUGGCCAGUUUUGGCUCAUCGCUGGUCAAACCCGUUUCAGGACCAAGUUGUAAUGGACGUAUUUACGUUUCAACGUUAAUAUUUGGGACAUUCUCCAGAAUUUUUUAGACAUUUAAGUUGUGUAUUGGUGAUAUCAAGCUAUAGAUGACUUUGUUUACUAAACUUGAACAAUAAACAAGCUACACGGUGUCGCAUAUAUAAGGGUCAAUUAUACUUACAGAAGAUAUAUUUACAUCUAAUUCUGAGCGUGCACAUGCGCAAAGAAAAUACAGCUGGAGAAAAGCAGAAAUUGUGGAAGCCGCGACUAAUGGCACAGGACCAAGAAAAUGAGAAAAAGUGACAGGAACAAUCAAGAAGCUAGACGGCACAACACAAUGGUUUCAGAAGUAAAAUGAAAUGAAAACAUAAAUUCAGUUUAACAUCGGGAUUGAUUUUGCGGAUUUAGAGAAAAAAAAAGGUUUAACUGUUUUGAAAUAAAAACAACUUCCUUGCA